AGAGUUUGAUCAUGGCUCAGAUUGAACGCUGGCGGCAGGCUUAACACAUGCAAGUCGAGCGGGGGAAGGUAGCUUGCUACCGGACCUAGCGGCGGACGGGUGAGUAAUGCUUAGGAAUCUGCCUAUUAGUGGGGGACAACAUCUCGAAAGGGAUGCUAAUACCGCAUACGUCCUACGGGAGAAAGCAGGGGAUCUUCGGACCUUGCGCUAAUAGAUGAGCCUAAGUCGGAUUAGCUAGUUGGUGGGGUAAAGGCCUACCAAGGCGACGAUCUGUAGCGGGUCUGAGAGGAUGAUCCGCCACACUGGGACUGAGACACGGCCCAGACUCCUACGGGAGGCAGCAGUGGGGAAUAUUGGACAAUGGGGGGAACCCUGAUCCAGCCAUGCCGCGUGUGUGAAGAAGGCCUUAUGGUUGUAAAGCACUUUAAGCGAGGAGGAGGCUACUUUAGUUAAUACCUAGAGAUAGUGGACGUUACUCGCAGAAUAAGCACCGGCUAACUCUGUGCCAGCAGCCGCGGUAAUACAGAGGGUGCGAGCGUUAAUCGGAUUUACUGGGCGUAAAGCGUGCGUAGGCGGCUUAUUAAGUCGGAUGUGAAAUCCCCGAGCUUAACUUGGGAAUUGCAUUCGAUACUGGUGAGCUAGAGUAUGGGAGAGGAUGGUAGAAUUCCAGGUGUAGCGGUGAAAUGCGUAGAGAUCUGGAGGAAUACCGAUGGCGAAGGCAGCCAUCUGGCCUAAUACUGACGCUGAGGUACGAAAGCAUGGGGAGCAAACAGGAUUAGAUACCCUGGUAGUCCAUGCCGUAAACGAUGUCUACUAGCCGUUGGGGCCUUUGAGGCUUUAGUGGCGCAGCUAACGCGAUAAGUAGACCGCCUGGGGAGUACGGUCGCAAGACUAAAACUCAAAUGAAUUGACGGGGGCCCGCACAAGCGGUGGAGCAUGUGGUUUA
rnacentral:rRNA from 1 species